GUGGGGAAUAUUGGACAAUGGGCGCAAGCCUGAUCCAGCCAUGCCGCGUGAGUGAUGAAGGCCUUAGGGUUGUAAAGCUCUUUCAGUGGGGACGAUAAUGACGGUACCCACAGAAGAAGCCCCGGCUAACUUCUUGCCAGCAGCCGCGGUAAUACGAAGGGGGCUAGCGUUGUUCGGAUUUACUGGUCGUAAAGCGCACGUAGGCGGAUCGUUAAGUCGGGGGUGAAAUCCUGGAGCUCAACUCCAGAACUUCCGUCGAUACUGGCGAUCUUGAGUCCGGGAGAGGUGAGUGGAACUCCUAGUGUAGAGGUGGAAUUCGUAGAUAUUAGGAAGAACACCAGUGGCGAAGGCGGCUCACUGGUCCGGUACUGACGCUGAGGUGCGAAAGCGUGGGGAGCAAACAGGAUUAGAAACCCCAGUAGUCC
rnacentral:rRNA from 1 species